rnacentral:rRNA from 2 species
GCGGGCUGGAACCUCUCGGGGUUACAGCCUUGCUGAAUUAUUCACCCUUGUCUUUUGCGUACUUCUUGUUUCCUUGGUGGGUUCGCCCACCACUAGGACAAACAUAAACCUUUUGUAAUUGCAAUCAGCGUCAGUAACAAAUUAAUAAUUACAACUUUCAACAACGGAUCUCUUGGUUCUGGCAUCGAUGAAGAACGCAGCGAAAUGCGAUAAGUAGUGUGAAUUGCAGAAUUCAGUGAAUCAUCGAAUCUUUGAACGCACAUUGCGCCCUUUGGUAUUCCAAAGGGCAUGCCUGUUCGAGCGUCAUUUGUACCCUCAAGCUUUGCUUGGUGUUGGGCGUCUUGUCUCUAGCUUUGCUGGAGACUCGCCUUAAAGUAAUUGGCAGCCGGCCUACUGGUUUCGGAGCGCAGCACAAGUCGCACUCUCUAUCAGCAAAGGUCUAGCAUCCACUAAGCCUUUUUUUCAACUUUUGACCUCGGAUCAGGUAGGGAUACCCGCUGAACUUAAGCAUAUCAAUAAGCGGAGGAA